GAGUACUUUCCGUCGGCCAGCGUCGUUGAUGGGUUGGGCGCGGCUCUCUUGGCUGCGUGUGAAAUCAACAACAUCAAGGCAACGCUUUGUGUGACAUGGCCUCAAUUUGGUGCUUCAGUGCUGUCCCUGAUCAGAUCCCUCAUCUUUCCUGCGUUGGAUUUGGAUUUGAGCAUCAGCACUGGGGUUGAUGAUUAUGUGAUUUUAGGACAAGAUAAGGAUCACCAUCAACCUUUUGAUUCUGAUUUGUAUACUUGAUGUUAAAAACUUGUUUUGGGUUCAAUUUCAAGUUCUUGAUCGUUUGAAUGUUUGAAA
rnacentral:lncRNA from 1 species